GAUGAACGCUGGCGGCGUGCUUAACACAUGCCAGUCGAACGGAACUACUCCAAUGAGAGUCUUCGGAAAGGAUUUGGUUUAGUUUAGUGGCGGACGGGUGAGUAACGCGUGGGUAACCUGCCCUAUACAGGGGGAUAACAGUUGGAAACGACUGUUAAUACCGCAUAAGCGCACAGGAGCGCAUGCUCCGGUGUGAAAAACUCCGGUGGUAUAGGAUGGACCCGCGUCUGAUUAGCUGGUUGGCGGGGUAACGGCCCACCAAGGCGACGAUCAGUAGCCGGGCUGAGAGGGUGAACGGCCACAUUGGGACUGAGACACGGCCCAAACUCCUACGGGAGGCAGCAGUGGGGAAUAUUGCACAACGGGGGAAACCCUGAUGCAGCGACGCCGCGUGAGCGAAGAAGUAUCUCGGGAUGUAAAGCUCUAUCAGCAGGGAAGAAAAUGACGGUACCUGACGAAGAAGCCCCGGCUAACUACGUG
rnacentral:rRNA from 1 species